AAGCUUAGGUUAAAUAAACCAGGGGCCUUCAAAGCCUCAAACAAGAGCCCUAGCCCUCCUAGCUUCU
rnacentral:tRNA from 1 species